CUGUCAUUAGCCUGCUAUCUGGCAAGCUGUCAUUAGCCUGCUAGCUGGCAAGCUGUCAUUAGCCUGUUAGCUGGCUUGCUGUGUCCCCAGUGUCUGUACCUACCUGUAGCUGUGCGAGGUGGUGCUAGGUGAUUUGGCGGCGCUAGGUGGUGUAGCGGUGGUGCUAGGUUAUUUAGCUGUGCUAGGUGGUGUAGCUGUGGUGCUAGGUGGUGUAGUGGUGGUGCUAGGUGGUGUAGCGCUGGUGCUAGGUGGUGUAGCGAGGCUAGGUGGUGUAGACGUGCUAGGUGGUGUAGUGGUGGUACUAGGUGGUGUAGCGCUUGGGCUAGGUGAUGUAGCACUGGUGCUAGGUGGUGUAGUGCUGGUACUAGCAGUGCUAGGUGAUGUAGCCAUACUAGGUGGUGUAGCGCUGAUGCUAGGUGAUGUAGCGAUGCUAGGUGGUGUAACAGUGGUGCUAGGUGGUGUAGCGAUGCUAGGUGGUGUAGCACUGGGGCUAGGUGGUGUAGCGCAGGGGCGGUGGAGCAGGAGGGGUUUGGGGGGCAGCGGGGGCUUCAGGGACCCCGUCCUCCACAGGGCGGCGGCCCGCGGGCCCCGGGGCCCGUCGCUGUAGCUGUGCUGCCGCGUCAGGCUAGCGCUAGCCGCUAGCCCGGUAGUGCUGCCGUGUACCGCGUCGCUGCUAGCCUGGGCGGUGGCGGCGGGGCUAGCGUGGCGCGGCGGCGGCGG
ensembl:lncRNA